CUGUCGCUGUGGAAAACGACAUUUCAGAUAGAAAAGCCUCUCUCCCUAAGAUGGUGUUUCCUGUUGCACUUUUCCCAGAUCCAGUUUUCCCAACAAGAACAAUCCUGAGGUCUGGUUUCUGUGGGUCCUCCAGCUCCUCCAGCUCCUUUAGCUCUUCUGACUCCUCUGGUGCUGUUAGUGGUUCCAGCUCCUUUAG